AACGAACGCUGGCGGCAGGCUUAACACAUGCAAGUCGAACGCCCCGCAAGGGGAGUGGCAGACGGGUGAGUAACACGUGGGAUCUGCCCAAUGGUACGGAAUAAUUCCGGGAAACUGGGACUAAUACCGUAUGUGCCCGCAAGGGGAAAGAUUUAUCGCCAUUGGAUGAACCCGCGUCGGAUUAGCUAGUUGGUGAGGUAAAGGCUCACCAAGGCGACGAUCCGUAGCUGGUCUGAGAGGAUGAUCAGCCACACUGGGACUGAGACACGGCCCAGACUCCUACGGGAGGCAGCAGUGGGGAAUAUUGGACAAUGGGCGCAAGCCUGAUCCAGCCAUGCCGCGUGAGUGAUGAAGGCCUUAGGGUUGUAAAGCUCUUUCGCCGACGAAGAUAAUGACGGUAGUCGGAGAAGAAGCCCCGGCUAACUUCGUGCCAGCCGCCGCAGUAA
rnacentral:rRNA from 1 species